AUUGAACGCUUGCGGCAGGCCUAACACAUGUAAGUCGAACGAGUGGCGGACGGGUGAGUAAUGUCUGUGAACCUGCCUGAUGGAGGGGGAUAACUACUGGAAACGGUGGCUAAUACCGCAUACCAUCGGAUGUUCCCAGAUGGGAUGAGCUAGUAGGUGGGGUAACGGCUCACAUAGGCGACGAUCCCUAGCUGGUCUGAGAGGAUGACCAGCCACACUGGAACUGGUACACGGUCCAGACUCCUACGUGAGGCAGCAGUGGGGAAUAUUGCACAAUGGGCGCAAGCCUGAUGCAGCCAUGCCGCGUGUAUGAAGAAGGCCUUCGGGUUGUAAAGUACUUUCAGCGGGGAGGCGUUACCCGCAGAAGAAGCACCGGCUAACUCCGUGCCAGCAGCCGCGGUAAUUC
rnacentral:rRNA from 1 species